CUGAUCUUGUCGGGGCGCCCCGUCGCUUAAUGCAGCUAGCUAGAAUUAAGUAGACCAAGGCUGAGAUUGGCUGUGCCAUGUCCCGUUGAACCUGAUCAGGUUUACACCUGCGUAGGGAACAAGUAAUGCAAAUAG
rnacentral:ncRNA from 1 species